rnacentral:misc_RNA from 1 species
GUGAAUCAUCGAAUCUUUGAACGCAUAUUGCGCCCCUUGGUAUUCCUUGGGGCACACCUGUUCGAGCGUCAUUUCACCAAUCAAGCCUCGCUUGGUUUUGGGCGAUGCGCACGUCGCACGCCUCAAAUGCCCCGGCCGAGCAGUCUCUCUUCCGGCGUCGUGGAAACAUACCGCUACGGAGACGAGACCUGCCCGUGCCGCAGAAUAAACCAUUUACAAAGGUUGACCUCGGAUCAGGUGGGGAUACCCGCUGAACUUAAGCAUAUCAAUAAGCGGAGGA